rnacentral:ncRNA from 1 species
AAUAAGUUUCGAUGUAUCAGAUUUAAUUUGUAAUAAUUUUCAAUAUAUCGCCAGAUUCACUUGAUAAUAGGUUGCAAUAUAUGACAACAUAUCCGAUAUGUAUGUACAAAUAUGUAUAUAUAUCCAGCGAUGUGUAUAUAUAAAUAUGCAUAUAUAUUCGGCGACGUAUCUAUCAAGUGUCUACCUUAUCAAUUUUCGAUGGUAGUUUAUGUGCCUACCAUGAUUGUAACGGGUAACGGAAUAUGGGUUCGAUUCCAG